GACGUAGGGCGCAAGCGUUGUCCGGAUUUAUUGGGCGUAAAGAGCUCGUAGGCGCCUGUCGCGUCGACCGUGAAAACCCGCAGCUCAACUGCGGGCUUGCGGUCGAUACGGGCAGGCUGGAGUUCGGUAGGGGGAGACUGGAAUUCCUGGUGUAGCGGUGAAAUGCGCAGAUAUCAGGAGGAACACCGGUGGCGAAGGCGGUUCUCUGGGCCUUACCUGACGCUGGAGGAGCGAAAGCGUGGGGAGCGAACAGG
rnacentral:rRNA from 1 species